UUUAUUGUAUGAACAAUAGCACAAACGUAACAUUUGUGCGCAUGCUGCUUAAAAAAGACGUUGUGGUUCUCUCAGACCAUGUGGUACCCUACGCAGUGAUGUGCCUGUCAGGAGCGGCGGCCCUUUUACGAGGUCUGUCUUCACAUGGACUCAAUAACUGUACAAUGUGAUGUCUGAGUGAAAGCGUGUGCAUUUGUGAGAGCAAGAAAGGCAGGCAGGCAGGCAGUAUCAUCUUCGGUGCGGAGGUGGGGGGCGGGGGGGGGCGUUUGGUCCUUGUGAAUGAGAGGCUAGCAUGACGUCAGCAAACCAAUGUCAACAAUGCAGCCCUUGGAAGAGAAAAGGCGUUACAUCCUAACACGAACAGAACGCCGUCCACGACGCGCCGAUUGAUGCUUUUACCCCAUAAAAAUAGCGAUUUUUGUUAUUCGAGGACAAGUGUGGAUUAACCAUCAUGCAGACGUACUUUUAUUUCUGAGAACCAACCGUGGGCGAGCAGCAAAAGGGUUGCGACUGGAAGUGAUGUCGGCAGGCGACGAGCAGGAGGGUGAGGCAGUAGUGCCUGUAUACGUGUACGAGU